AAGCGGCGUUAGUUUAUUGCUUGUUGCAUCAUCACUGCCAUUGCAUGUUUUGAGAAGUUGAGGAGGCGGCAAAUGGAAAAUUGCAAUAACGCUUGUUUCGUUCUCUUUCCUUUCUCGCUCUCCUCACCCACCCCUCUCUACGCUCUCUUACUCGCUUUCCAAUUUCAAACCCUAUUCUCUUUCUAUCUCACCUUUUUUUUUGUUCGAGUGCUAGGAGAAUCUCCGCGAGAUAGAAGCCGAAAAUCUUCAGCUGUCGAUCGUCGAAGUCGCAGGGUGUAAUUGCGCUUUAUGGCAGCUAUUACUGCUGCAUUCUAUUACUUGAUUGGGAAGCCACUCCGAUGAUUGGUAGCUGCAAAGAAGGAAAGACAUAAUUUGGAGUGCCCGAGUCGAUUUAUUUUUUUCAACUCAAUUUGCCCGUGUGCUGUGUGGCCUCAUGCAUUUUUUAAAAUCUGACACUGCAAGUCUUUGACACCCCUAUUGUAUGGGUGUUGGCGUCCGACACGGGACAUGCCUGCGAAUAGAGGUGUUCGGGCUUCUUAGAUCACAGUCCUCUCAUAAUAAAUAUCUCAACUCUUAAAUGGUUGUUUAAAUACAAGAUCUCCUGUCACUCGGGCAGCAAUCACCUUAGAUCUUACAAAGUUGGAUCUUCAAUAUUAGCUUUUAUUGAGGUCGUGGUGCACGUUCCUUUUGAUCAAAUCCCCUGACACAAACAAAUCCUGAAAUGAAGCAUCAAACUGUUAGUAGCCAUUACAAGAUUGAACACUGAUACUUGUGGAUGCAGAUGGGAACUAAUCACUGAUAGAAACAUGAAGAAUGCUCAUAAUAUAUCUGGAAACUAUAAUAGCUGGCUAGUCUGAUAUUGGGUUACUUGGAAAUGAUGAUAAACGGAUGCAUUUGGAUUAAUCUUUUGAUUGGAGAAGGGAUAGAAGCAGACUGUGGAUUCAAGGCCACAAGUGCCUUAGACAUGUCACCUUCAUUAUGCUCCUUGUAUUCUUGCAAGUGGUUCUGUACAUUCACUGUUGACUCUUUGGCAUUGAGGUCAAUGGAAAGAAUUUCAUCAGAAUCCACCUUUAAAAAGUCCUCCAUGUCACUUUCUUCUGCCUCUUUCCACUCUCUUUCUGGUGUUGCUGGUUCUUCAAUGAUUGGUUCACACUGCCAACUUUCAGGAUUUACUUGUCUGCUCAAGUUGUUCUCAAGGAGAGGUAGGACCAUGGGGUUCUCAUUGACAAAAUAGUUUCUCUCAGUUGCAAUGGGAACAUGCAUACUUACGAUGCGCUUCUCUUCUGGUCCAGGCAAGGCAAGCCGUGCACUGUACUACAAGGAUUUUGGGAGUUAUAAUUUUACAAGGUUCUUUGGUCGAGUUUACACAAUCUGGGCCAGAGAUACUUCUGAACUGUUUCCAGCACUGGAUACCUACAUGGCAUAGUAGUUAGCACUUUUUAUCUAUGAUGUGUUUAUGUCUUCUCUGGUUGGGGCAUAAGAUACUUACAGUUCAAGGAGGUGUAACUGAAGUGCUUCAGGAAGUGGUUGGAGAGGGACCCAUCCAAGUCUAACAGCUAUCCUUCCAACAUUGGUGUCAACCUUAAAGACAUGGUUCAUUGCAUAGUUUUUUAGUGAUUUACAUUGGUUAUGAGCAGUUAAUGGAUUCUAAAUGAGUCUUACUGGGAAAGCAAUAUGAUGAAGUGUCAGAAGCCGUACACAUUCCACACUUUUUAACCCCAAUCCUCGAAAGCUAAGCAGAUAGUCCCUGCAUUUGAUAUUAAAAUAUAUACAGAGGACAUGAUUAAUUUGCUUUAUAUACUGACAUGUGCAGUUAAUGUCUGCCACAUGUGACCUUCUUGGGAUAGGGAUUAAGGACACUGGCGAAUGCUGAUAGAAGAAAGAAAGUGGCUUACUUUGCUUUAUCUUGGGGAACAUGCCUUAACCAUUCAAGAUCAAUGCUUCCAUGUUCUGUAACCAAUCUGUUCAGGAAUUCCUGAAAAAUAACAGAAGUCAUUAUGUAAGCAUAUUUUGGCAAAAAAUCAGUGUUCUACAUAAAGUUGCUUUGAACAUACUUUGAUUCGUUCUGCUAGCAUGUUGUUCAUCCCUCGCUCUUUAAUGGUUUUAGAUAUCUCUUUAACAGAGGCACAUCUUAUUGCUUCAUAGUCCAGUGAAUCCAUUGUAUCCGUGCUUCUUUCUUUCUCUAUUCUAUUUAUCUGUACCUCCUUUCUUAGUUUGUCCCAGUCACUUGCAUGCUUUUUCUCAGUCUCAGGUUUUGCUUUCCUUUCUUUUGAAACCUUGAUUUUGCUCUUUUUAUCGAUAGAGUUGGGAGAAUAAACUUGCUUCAAAGGAUUUGAUUCAGCCCUACUAUUUUCUGAGCAUCCCUGGCUGUUUGCUGCAGAUAUUUUUUCACUGUCAAGACCUUCUGCAUGCUUAGGAAUAUUGCCGCUAUCCUUAACUACAUCAUCUUGACAUCUGUCCAAUAUAUGAGACGUAUUUAAUGAGUUUGUAAAUUCCCUACUUUCUGAUUCUAAGGAUUUCUGACCUACAAGAUGAUGAUUAGGUGAAGGUUGAUUGUAAUUUGUAUGAGAUCCAAAUUGAGAAGUAUCAUGUGGAAGGACUAAAUACUUGCUUAAUGGUCCAUAAGGGUCAAUUGUUGGUAUCUCUGGAGACCCUAGUGUUCCAUUUGCAUAUUGCAUCUCUGUGGGUUUAUCUGCACUAUCUCCCACUUUCCUAUUGCCAGAAUUGUUGUCCUGUAACUCACUGUGAACAGAAACAGUUUCAGUCCAAGAAAACUUUCCACCAUUCAUUUGAAAAGUCUUCAGCCCUUGUGUGUCUGAGUAAUAUAGCCUAUAGUCAGUUGAAGGAACUACAGGUAGUUGCUUUGGUGGAUAAGCAAAGUUGUUAGGAUGACUAAAUGCUGAGCAGAUAUUGGGACUACUGUUUCUGCCUAUGCUACAAUUUUGUUUCACAUAUUCUUCUGGAUGCAGCUGUCCAUCUUUAUUUCUCUCCUCAAACAGUGACACUCCAUUUAUACUGUUGUAAAAUUCCUGGAACAUAGUGGUCUUUCCUACCUGUAAAGAAUUAAUUGCAGUUAAAAACUGAGUCUCUCUAUGUUCACACCUGCAGUCCAGUCCUUCUGAUUCUGAAUUGGAUCCUGAGGAAGAUCUAUUUCUGGCAUCUUGAGUAAUUGAGGAAUCAAGAGAAUCUUGUGGUGAUAAAAAUUCUUCCUCUGAGCUCUGAUUAUUUGGCUUUAUUAGGCUCCCUUUUGGCCUUGAAGUUUCACUGUCUCUCCAAAGCUCUCUUGCAUGAUGGGGUGUCUCAAAGCAAAGAUGAUAGGUUGGUUGAUUUAAUGUCCCAGAUCCAUAUGGUGUUAUUGUAUCAGCUGGAUUUACUAUGCAGAGUCCUGCUUCUUUAAGCAAUGUGUUUGUGUCAACAUCAUAUGAUUUCUUGCUGCUUUUUGACUGAAGAGGAAACCUUGAUGCUAGAGACAUAAAGGCAGAGCUGCAAAGAAAGGAAAGAAGCAUAAAUUUUUCUGUUGGGUUGCUCAUCAUCCUGUUCUAGCAUUGGCAAUCCUGAGUGAGAUAAACACCUACUUUGAUAUUUAGUUUACCUUGAAAGAUGGUCUGAAACAUUCUGAGUGAGGAAAACACCUAUCACCGAGUCAACAACAGAUCCUUUCCACUUUGAAAAGCGUCUAUCUCCUGCAAAGUAGAGGAGUUGCACCUCUGAAAUUUUCAUUUGCUUGUAAAGUCUCUUGGCACAAGGAAGUAUCAUGUGAAUUUGUGGCCGAGUCAUGUUGCUUCUGAGUUCUUUUGCGAUAUUUUCUCUUGGAACCCUUUGCUGCUUCAAU